rnacentral:hammerhead_ribozyme from 1 species
AUUCGGCUGACGAGUCUCAAGAUAGUACGAAACGCGAGUCCUGGAU